GACGAACGCUGGCGGCGUGCUUAACACAUGCAAGUCGAACGGAAAGGCCCUGCUUUUGUGGGGUGCUCGAGUGGCGAACGGGUGAGUAACACGUGAGUAACCUGCCCUUGACUUUGGGAUAACUUCAGGAAACUGGGGCUAAUACCGGAUAGGAGCUCUUGCUGCAUGGUGGGGGUUGGAAAGUUUCGGCGGUUGGGGAUGGACUCGCGGCUUAUCAGCUUGUUGGUGGGGUAGUGGCUUACCAAGGCUUUGACGGGUAGCCGGCCUGAGAGGGUGACCGGCCACAUUGGGACUGAGAUACGGCCCAGACGCCUACGGGAGGCAGCAGUGGGGAAUAUUGCACAAUGGGCGGAAGCCUGAUGCAGCAACGCCGCGUGCGGGAUGACGGCCUUCGGGUUGUAAACCGCUUUCGCCUGUGACGAAGCGUGAGUGACGGUAAUGGGUAAAGAAGCACCGGCUAACUACGUG
rnacentral:rRNA from 1 species